UACGUAGGGGGCAAGCGUUGUCCGGAUUUAUUGGGCGUAAAGAGCGUGUAGGCGGUUUGGUAGGUCCGCUGUGAAAACUCGAGGCUCAACCUCGAGACGCCGGUGGAAACCAUCAGGCUAGAGUCCGGAAGAGGAGAGUGGAAUUCCUGGUGUAGCGGUGAAAUGCGCAGAUAUCAGGAAGAACACCCGUGGCUAAGGCGGCUCUCUGGAACGCAACUGACGCUGAGACGCGAAAGCGUGGGGAGCAAACAGG
rnacentral:rRNA from 1 species